CGCUUCACGGCUUCCCUGCGGCACCAGACACGGUCGCGCCAUGCCUGACACCUNGCGAGCAUCGUUUACGGCUGGGACUACCCGGGUAUCUAAUCCGGUUCGUGCCCCCAGCUUUCGUCCNUCACCGUCGAACCCGUUCUGGUAAGACGCCUUCGCHACAGGUGGUCCCACAGGGAUUACAAGAUUUCACUCCUACYCYUGUAGUACCUCUUACCUCUYCHGGUUCCAAGCHUGGCAGUAUCCCCCGAAAGCYUAAUAGUUGAGCUAUUAGAUUUUUUAGACYCAAUAAUYACGAUCAUUAUUCGGGCUGCUGGUGUUACCGCGGCGGCUGGCACCGGUCUUGCMCGGCYCUUGCUAACAGGUGUAUUUUACACAC
rnacentral:rRNA from 1 species